rnacentral:rRNA from 1 species
UACGUAGGGCGCAAGCGUUGUCCGGAAUUAUUGGGCGUAAAGAGCUCGUAGGCGGCCUGUCGCGUCUGCUGUGAAAUCCCGGGGCUUAACCCCGGGCGUGCAGUGGAUACGGGCUGGCUGGAGGCAGGCAGGGGAGAAUGGAAUUCCCGGUGUAGCGGUGAAAUGCGCAGAUAUCAGGAAGAACACCCGUGGCGAAGGCGGUUCUCUGGGACGGUACUGACGCUGAGACGCGAAAGCGUGGGGAGCGAACAGG